rnacentral:sRNA from 1 species
ACUGGGUGUGGUGUGCACACCUGUAAUCCCAGCUACUCGGGAGGCUGAGACAUGAGGAUCACAAGUUCAAAGCCAGCUUCAGCAGUGGCAAGGUACUGAACAACUCAGUGAGACCCUAUCUCUA